AGUAAUAAUUUAUCAUGAAUAAACUCUUCUCAAUUGUUACCUGAAUUUAGUCCUUUAUUAGUGCCUGAAACAAUGAUUUUAAAUAAUACUUUCCAACUUUAUACUUGUUUUUUUGCAGAGGGGAUUGCAAUACUUCCUCCCGACAUCAUUACUGGAAGUAGAGUCCUAUGGUUUAAAUCUGCAAAAAUCUGGUGUGGCCUUUGGAACAGACACAGAACAGUCUGGUUACCUUCAGAAGCCAAAGAUCUCAAAGAAUAUAGUAGAAGGUAUUGAAAGAAAAAUCUUAUUCUGAAAUUUGAGUUUGACGAAAGGACUGAGUAUUCCCUGCAAACAGGAUGGAAUGGGGUAAAUUAGUUAUGCCUGUCCACUGAAAGAAAGGAACAGAAGACACUGU